AUUGAACGCUGGCGGCAGGCCUAACACAUGCAAGUCGAACGGUAACAGGGAUCAGCUUGCUGAUUCGCUGACGAGUGGCGGACGGGUUAGUAAUGUCUGGGAAACUGCCCGAUGGAGGGGGAUAACUACUGGAAACGGUAGCUAAUACCGCAUAACGUCGCAAGACCAAAGAUGGGGACCUUCGGGCCUCUUGCCAUCGGAUGUGCCCAGAUGGGAUUAGCUAGUAGGUGGGGUAACGGCUCACCUAGGCGACGAUCCCUAGCUGGUCUGAGAGGAUGACCAGCCACACUGGAACUGAGACACGGUCCAGACUCCUACGGGAGGCAGCAGUGGGGAAUAUUGCACAAUGGGCGCAAGCCUGAUGCAGCCAUGCCGCGUGUAUGAAGAAGGCCUUCGGGUUGUAAAGUACUUUCAGCGGGGAGGAAGGGAGUAAAGUUAAUACCUUUGCUCAUUGACGUUACCCGCAGGAGAAGCACCGGCUAACUCCGUG
rnacentral:rRNA from 1 species